rnacentral:rRNA from 1 species
AGUGAACGCUGGCGGCGUGCUUAACACAUGCAAGUCGAACGAGAACGGGUUAUAGCUUGCCAUAAUUGUCAGCUAAGUGGCGCACGGGUGAGUAAUGUAUAGGUAAUAUGCCUCUUACUAAGGGAUAACAAAUGGAAACGUUUGCUAAUACCUUAUACUCCUUAUUAACAGGAGUUAAUAAGGGAAAGAUUUAUUGGUAAGAGAUUAGCCUGUAUUGUAUCAGUUAGUUGGUGGGGUAAUGGCUUACCAAGACUAUGACACAUAACUGGUUUGAGAGGAUGAUCAGACACGCUGGAACUGAGACACGGUCCAGACUCCUACGGGAGGCAGCAGUGGGGAAUAUUGCACAAUGGACGAAAGUCUGAAGCAGCAACGCCGCGUGGAGGAUGACACAUUUCGGUGCGUAAACUCCUUUUAUAUGAGAAGAUAAUGACGGUAUUAUAUGAAUAAGCACCGGCUAACUCCGUGCCAGCAGCCGCAGGAA